CCUACGGGUGGCAGCAGUGAGGAAUAUUGGUCAAUGGGCGCGAGCCUGAACCAGCCAAGUCGCGUGAGGGAAGACGGUCCUAUGGAUUGUAAACCUCUUUUGUCAGGGAGCAAAAGACGCCACGCGUGGCGUUCCGAGAGUACCCGAAGAAAAAGCAUCGGCUAACUCCGUGCCAGCAGCCGCGGUAAUACGGAGGAUGCGAGCGUUAUCCGGAUUUAUUGGGUUUAAAGGGUGCGCAGGCGGUAGAUUAAGUCAGCGGUAAAAUUGAGAGGCUCAACCUCGGCGAGCCGUUGAAACUGGUUGUCUUGAGUGAGAGAGAAGUAUGCGGAAUGCGUGGUGUAGCGGUGAAAUGCAUAGAUAUCACGCAGAACUCCGAUUGCGAAGGCAGCAUACCGGCGCUCAACUGACGCUCAUGCACGAAAGUGUGGGUAUCGAACAGGAUUAGAUACCCUUGUAGUC
rnacentral:rRNA from 1 species